rnacentral:rRNA from 1 species
GAUGAACGCUGGCGGCGUGCCUAUUACAUGCAAGUCGAGCGAACGGACGAGAAGCUUGCUUCUCUGAUGUUAGCGGCGGACGGGUGAGUAACACGUGGAUAACCUACCUAUAAGACUGGGAUAAAUUCGGGAAACCGUAGCUAAUACCGGCUGAUAUUUUGAACCGCAUGGUUCAAAAGUGAAAGCCGGUCUUGCUGUCACUUAUAGAUGGAUCCGCGCUGCAUUAGCUAGUUGGUAAGGUAACGGCUUACCAAGGCAACGAUGCAUAGCCGCCCUGAGAGGGUGAUCGGCCACACUGGAACUGAGACACGGUCCAGACUCCUACGGGAGGCAGCAGUAGGGAAGUUUCCGCAAUGGGCGAAAGCCUGACGGAGCAACGCCGCGUGAGUGAUGAAGGUCUUCGGAUCGUAAAACUCUGUUAUUAGGGAAGAACAUAUGUGUAAGUAACUGUGCACAUCUUGACGGUACCGAAUCAGAAAGCCACGGCUAACUACGUG